GGGGAAUCUUGCGCAAUGCGCGAAAGCGUGACGCAGCAACGCCGCGUGGGGGAAGACGGCCUUCGGGUUGUAAACCCCUUUCAGGAGGGACGAAGGUUCACCGGUUAAUAGCCGUGUGGAUUGACGGUACCUCCACAAGAAGGUCCGGCUAACUACGUGGCAGCAGCCGCGGUAAUACGUAGGGACCAAGCGUUGUCCGGAAUCAUUGGGCGUAAAGCGCGCGUAGGUGGCCAUUUAAGUCCGCUGUGAAAGUCAAAGGCUCAACCUUUGAAAGCCGGUGGAUACUGGGUGGCUAGAGUACGGAAGAGGCGAGUGGAAUUCCUGGUGUAGCGGUGGAAUGCGCAGAUAUCAGGAGGAACACCAAUAGCGAAGGCAGCUCGCUGGGACGUUACUGACACUGAGGCGCGAAAGCGUGGGGAGCGAAC
rnacentral:rRNA from 1 species